CGGCAAUCGUGGAGGGGCGUGGAGAAGCCGGGAGUGGCCGAAACGGAUCCAUUUCAUGGCAGUAUGGGACCCGUUUUACUCGGUUGCGGGAACUUCGUGCGCAAAGUUCACAUGGCGUCCGUCAUCGGAGCCGAACUCUUCGUCGUCGUCGUCUAAGGAUUGUCAGAGACUUUGUUCUCGUUCUUGGUUUUAUCCAACUGCUAGGCGAGUAGGAUCGUGAUGGCAGGAGCAUAAGUACGUUGGCUGCUUCAAAACAAGGGCUUUUUAACAUGGCUUAUGGAGUUUCCUUUUUGCCCUUUCGUAUGAUGGUUUGAAGUUAGGGUUUUGCCUUGGUUUUUAUAGAAAUUACCAAUUUCUAAAAGUUUGUGCUUUUUGAGUCCCAUUAUUUUGUUUCGUAUUAUCAACCAAGGUGCGAUUUUGCUUGUUAUUUUGACUGUAGUGUUUAUUCGGACGAUCUUAAGAGUGAUUUAUGGGCUAAAAGGAGCUCGAGCUCGACUUUCUUUUCUUUUUCCUUUUUUAUGUUGAAUGUAGGAUCUACGGCCACUCUGUUGCAAAGAUGGCGCCUGCUGUGGAAUGCAGGAAAUGCAAACGACGGGUCUCAUCUGAUAGGUCCAGUUCUCCUAAUAGUGAUCGUCAUUCCCCUCUCAGGAGGACCUCCUUUCGAAGAGAAAGAUCGCCUGCUCCUCAGAAGAGCUCUCCAGAACUAGGUCACUGACUAAGAAUUAAUUGAGCUCAGUCUCCAGUGAAAGCAAAUGUGUCCGAUCGAGCUAGGUCAGCUAAACACAUGCGGCAGCUCAAGGCUAGUGCUUCACGCUCACUAUCAGCACAAACCAAUCGUUCAAAAUGAGCUCAAGCUGAGAGGUCACUAGAUAGAGAGCAUGGGGGAAAAUUAGGCAGGGAAGAUCAUGAUAAAGGGAGGCACAAAAGACAUAUGGAGGUUAAAGAUUUUUCAAGGGAUAGGAAAUCAUUAAGAGAGAAGAAUGAUGGUGUUUCAUUAAAAUCAUCAAGGCGGGAUCAUUCAAAUUCCCCAAAAGGAUGAAUCCUUAGGAGCAGAUACAGUUCUCAGCCCCUUACUAUGGCUUCGAAGGUUGGGCACGGGGUGACGUGUCGGGCAGGGAUGAUGCCGAAAUCAGCUGAAUAUGCUUGGGGUGCUGAAAAUGAUUCCCUUGCAAAGAUGAAGGCAGCCGAGAAGGCCCUGGAAACAAAAGAAAAGCAAAAGCCAUCAUUUGAGCUGUCUGGGAAGCUUGCUGAGGAGACUAAUAGAGUUCAAGAUAAACAGAGCCUCUAUAUGUGCACCUGCAGAAUCUCUACCUUUGUGGUAGAGAAGAGGGGUUGCAGACAUCCCAACAGAUCAUCCAUCUUGUAGCAAACAACAUGCUGUUAUCUAUCCAGUAUAGGCUUGUUGAAAAGGAACAACCAGAUGGUUUAACAUCAAAACAAGUAAGGAUAAUCAUAUUGAGCCACAACAUGGUAGUAUGAACUUGAAAAGGAUACUAUUAGGUUUGGCAACGGUAGGUAUGAUUAUUAGUUUCACAUGAUUUUAAUUUUGUUUCCUCUAGAUAUAAACAUGUUCAUUUCUCUUUUGCAGUAGUAAAACCAAUGUUAGAUCUCCAAUUAUUAAAUGUUAAUAUGACCUCGUGUUUUUAUAAAGCAUAAGCCACGACAAUGAUCGCUAACUGUGCUCAUGUUGUUGCCCUUGUAUUUCAAAGUUAUUUUAUUCUAAUCGGCAUGAAAGCAUGACUUGCAAAUUUUUAAAUGAGGAGAGAAGAAGCUGCCCCCAAUUAUGGUAUAACUAACUCAUCAUCAUAUCUAACAUACGUCGAUAUACUUGCUUGCAGCCAGGAAUAUGUAUCAUUACAUGAGAACCCAGGUUGAAAAGCCAAUCCUAAAGGAUUGUUGAUCCAACAAUCAGUCCGUUGAAAUUGCUGCAUUUGUUUUUGUUAUUGCUGGCUUAGCCAUUCUGGUGAGCAAAAUUUCUGAUGCUUUAGAGUGCACUGUUUUGUUCAGAUAAGAGCUAUUUUUGUAUAUGAUUUUGACGAUACUGGAGUUUCUCUGAUGCCGAAUUCACAUUUAUUGUUUCUUUUUAUCAUGUGUGGAGGAAUUCUGUUCUAAUAAGAUUCAUUCGCAAGUAACUCAUUUUGUCUGAGGGGGCAUAGUU